rnacentral:rRNA from 1 species
UUUUAUGGAGAGUUUGAUCCUGGCUCAGGAUGAACGCUGGCGGCGUGCCUAAUACAUGCAAGUCGAGCGAACGGACGAGAAGCUUGCUUCUCUGAUGUUAGCGGCGGACGGGUGAGUAACACGUGGAUAACCUACCUAUAAGACUGGGAUAACUUCGGGAAACCGGAGCUAAUACCGGAUAAUGUUUUGAACCGCAUGGUUCAAAAGUGAAAGACGGUCUUGCUGUCACUUAUAGAUGGAUCCGCGCUGCAUUAGCUAGUUGGUAAGGUAACGGCUUACCAAGGCAACGAUGCAUAGCCGACCUGAGAGGGUGAUCGGCCACACUGGAACUGAGACACGGUCCAGACUCCUACGGGAGGCAGCAGUAGGGAAUCUUCCGCAAUGGGCGAAAGCCUGACGGAGCAACGCCGCGUGAGUGAUGAAGGUCUUCGGAUCGUAAAACUCUGUUAUUAGGGAAGAACAUAUGUGUAAGUAACUGUGCACAUCUUGACGGUACCUAAUCAGAAAGCCACGGCUAACUACGUGCCAGCAGCCGCGGUAAUACGUAGGUGGCAAGCGUUAUCCGGAAUUAUUGGGCGUAAAGCGCGCGUAGGCGGUUUUUUAAGUCUGAUGUGAAAGCCCACGGCUCAACCGUGGAGGGUCAUUGGAAACUGGAAAACUUGAGUGCAGAAGAGGAAAGUGGAAUUCCAUGUGUAGCGGUGAAAUGCGCAGAGAUAUGGAGGAACACCAGUGGCGAAGGCGACUUUCUGGUCUGUAACUGACGCUGAUGUGCGAAAGCGUGGGGAUCAAACAGGAUUAGAUACCCUGGUAGUCCACGCCGUAAACGAUGAGUGCUAAGUGUUAGGGGGUUUCCGCCCCUUAGUGCUGCAGCUAACGCAUUAAGCACUCCGCCUGGGGAGUACGACCGCAAGGUUGAAACUCAAAGGAAUUGACGGGGACCCGCACAAGCGGUGGAGCAUGUGGUUUAAUUCGAAGCAACGCGAAGAACCUUACCAAAUCUUGACAUCCUUUGACAACUCUAGAGAUAGAGCCUUCCCCUUCGGGGGACAAAGUGACAGGUGGUGCAUGGUUGUCGUCAGCUCGUGUCGUGAGAUGUUGGGUUAAGUCCCGCAACGAGCGCAACCCUUAAGCUUAGUUGCCAUCAUUAAGUUGGGCACUCUAAGUUGACUGCCGGUGACAAACCGGAGGAAGGUGGGGAUGACGUCAAAUCAUCAUGCCCCUUAUGAUUUGGGCUACACACGUGCUACAAUGGACAAUACAAAGGGCAGCGAAACCGCGAGGUCAAGCAAAUCCCAUAAAGUUGUUCUCAGUUCGGAUUGUAGUCUGCAACUCGACUACAUGAAGCUGGAAUCGCUAGUAAUCGUAGAUCAGCAUGCUACGGUGAAUACGUUCCCGGGUCUUGUACACACCGCCCGUCACACCACGAGAGUUUGUAACACCCGAAGCCGGUGGAGUAACCUUUUAGGAGCUAGCCGUCGAAGGUGGGACAAAUGAUUGGGGUGAAGUCGUAACAAGGUAGCCGUAUCGGAAGGUGCGGCUGGAUCACCUCCUUUCU